GGGGAUGCAACGGCUUCGACGGGGAUGUUGAAGCUUCGGAAGCGAGUAGUGCCGGAUAACACUGAAACUGUCCAAUUUUUAAAAAUAAACGCUAACAAAAAUUUAGCUUACGCUGCCUAAUUAGGCUGGCCGUCUUACCCUGAUUACCACGGCAGGGAGCAAGGCGUCGUAUUAGUGGUGCACAUGAACCGUCUUUUGUUUUGGGGACGGUCAGGAACUAAAAACUACCGUAGCAUAUAACUUGAUUGUGAGGGAUAUGUGAGGGGAAUCUUAUAACACAAUCUACACUCGUAGAUGCCGGGGUGAAUAUGUUUUCGGACACGGGUUCAACUCCCGUCAUCUCCACCA
rnacentral:tmRNA from 1 species